rnacentral:rRNA from 1 species
UACGUAGGGGGCAAGCGUUGUCCGGAUUUAUUGGGCGUAAAGAGCGUGUAGGCGGCCGUACAGGUCAGCUGUGAAAACUCGAGGCUCAACCUCGAGACGUCGGUUGAAACCGUACGGCUAGAGUCCGGAAGAGGAGAGUGGAAUUCCCGGUGUAGCGGUGAAAUGCGCAGAUAUCGGGAAGAACACCUGUGGCGAAGGCGGCUCUCUGGGACGGUACUGACGCUGAGACGCGAAAGCGUGGGGAGCGAACAGG